rnacentral:rRNA from 1 species
UACGGGGGAGCAAGCGUUGUUCGGAUUUACUGGGCGUAAAGGGCGCGUAGGCGGCCACCGCAAGUCGACUGUGAAAUCUCCGGGCUUAACCCGGAAAGGUCAGCCGAUACUGCGGGCUAGAGUGCAGAAGGGCAACUGGAAUUCUCGGUGUAGCGGUGAAAUGCGCAGAUAUCAGGAGGAACACCGGUGGCGAAGGCGGAUCUCUGGGCCAUUACUGACGCUGAGGAGCGAAAGCGUGGGGAGCGAACAGG